rnacentral:lncRNA from 1 species
UUGAGUUAAGUUUGAGACUUUAAAGUUUAAUUAUGCAUUUGGAGUUCCCAUUUGGCUUGAGUAAGUCUUCCGCUUGUAGUCAGCUAGGAUGACGGUUUGCUUGGGGACCAACAAUGAUUCUCGAGUGCCGGCAACGUCCAAGGUGUAGACUCUGGUCGUGACAUCCUGGCGGGCCCUCUUGUUCCUUAUUUUAUGCUUUGUUUUAUUCGAGAAACAAAGACAUUGAGACUUGUAUUUAUCUUUCAAAUUAUGUAUUACUACACUAGUGACUUGUACACGUGACAACCAGAUUUAGGGGUGUUUAUGAAUUGGCUAAAAAAAUUCCGCACUUAUGCUAUUGUUGAUUUAUUUCACAUUUCUUUCGUAUUAUUUAGAUUUUAGGCUGAC